GUUAUAUGGUCAAGUGAAGAAGCGCAUACGGUGGAUGCCUUGGCAGUCAGAGGCGAUGAAAGACGUGGUAGCCUGCGAUAAGCUUUGGGGAGUCGGCAAACAGACUGUGAUCCAGAGAUCUCUGAAUGGGGGAACCCACUCAGCAUAAGCUGAGUAUCUUGCACUGAAUACAUAGGUGCAAGAGGCGAACCAGGGGAACUGAAACAUCUAAGUACCCUGAGGAAAAGAAAUCAACCGAGAUUCCCUUAGUAGUGGCGAGCGAACGGGGACCAGCCCUUAAGUUGAUUUGAGAUUAGUGGAACGCUCUGGAAAGUGCGGCCAUAGUGGGUGAUAGCCCCGUACACGAAAAUCUCUUGUCAAUGAAAUCGAGUAGGACGGAGCACGAGAAACUUUGUCUGAACAUGGGGGGACCAUCCUCCAAGGCUAAAUACUACUGACUGACCGAUAGUGAACCAGUACCGUGAGGGAAAGGCGAAAAGAACCCCGGAGAGGGGAGUGAAAUAGAACCUGAAACCGUAUGCGUACAAGCAGUGGGAGCCUACUUUGUUAGGUGACUGCGUACCUUUUGUAUAAUGGGUCAGCGACUUAUAUUCAGUGGCGAGCUUAACCGAAUAGGGGAGGCGUAGCGAAAGCGAGUCUUAAUAGGGCGUUUAGUCGCUGGGUAUAGACCCGAAACCGGGCGAUCUAUCCAUGGGCAGGUUGAAGGUUAGGUAACACUGACUGGAGGACCGAACCGACUACCGUUGAAAAGUUAGCGGAUGACCUGUGGAUCGGAGUGAAAGGCUAAUCAAGCUCGGAGAUAGCUGGUUCUCCUCGAAAGCUAUUUAGGUAGCGCCUCAUGUAUCACUCCAGGGGGUAGAGCACUGUUUCGGCUAGGGGGUCAUCCCGACUUACCAAACCGAUGCAAACUCCGAAUACCUGGAAGUGCCGAGCAUGGGAGACACACGGCGGGUGCUAACGUCCGUCGUGAAAAGGGAAACAACCCAGACCGUCAGCUAAGGUCCCAAAGUCAUGGUUAAGUGGGAAACGAUGUGGGAAGGCUUAGACAGCUAGGAGGUUGGCUUAGAAGCAGCCACCCUUUAAAGAAAGCGUAAUAGCUCACUAGUCGAGUCGGCCUGCGCGGAAGAUGUAACGGGGCUCAAACCAUGCACCGAAGCUACGGGUGUCAUCUUUGAUGACGCGGUAGAGGAGCGUUCUGUAAGCCUGUGAAGGUGAGUUGAGAAGCUUGCUGGAGGUAUCAGAAGUGCGAAUGCUGACAUGAGUAACGACAAUGCGAGUGAAAAACUCGCACGCCGAAAGACCAAGGUUUCCUGCGCAACGUUAAUCGACGCAGGGUUAGUCGGUCCCUAAGGCGAGGCUGAAAAGCGUAGUCGAUGGAAAACAGGUUAAUAUUCCUGUACUUCCAGUUAUUGCGAUGGAGGGACGGAGAAGGUUAGGCCAGCCUGGCGUUGGUUGUCCAGGUUUAAGGUGGUAGGCUGGAAUCUUAGGCAAAUCCGGGAUUUCAAGGCCGAGAGCUGAUGACGAGUUGCCUCUAGGCGACGAAGUGGUUGAUACCAUGCUUCCAAGAAAAGCUCCUAAGCUUCAGAUAACUGGGAACCGUACCCCAAACCGACACAGGUGGUUAGGUAGAGAAUACCAAGGCGCUUGAGAGAACUCGGGUGAAGGAACUAGGCAAAAUGGCACCGUAACUUCGGGAGAAGGUGCGCCGGCGAGGGUGAAGGACUUGCUCCGUAAGCCCAUGCCGGUCGAAGAUACCAGGCCGCUGCGACUGUUUAUUAAAAACACAGCACUCUGCAAACACGAAAGUGGACGUAUAGGGUGUGACGCCUGCCCGGUGCCGGAAGGUUAAUUGAUGGGGUUAGCGCAAGCGAAGCUCUUGAUCGAAGCCCCGGUAAACGGCGGCCGUAACUAUAACGGUCCUAAGGUAGCGAAAUUCCUUGUCGGGUAAGUUCCGACCUGCACGAAUGGCGUAACGAUGGCGGCGCUGUCUCCACCCGAGACUCAGUGAAAUUGAAAUCGCUGUGAAGAUGCAGUGUAUCCGCGGCUAGACGGAAAGACCCCGUGAACCUUUACUAUAGCUUUGCACUGGACUUUGAAUUUGCUUGUGUAGGAUAGGUGGGAGGCUUUGAAGUGGGGACGCCAGUUCUCAUGGAGCCAUCCUUGAAAUACCACCCUGGCAACUUUGAGGUUCUAACUCAGGUCCGUUAUCCGGAUCGAGGACAGUGUAUGGUGGGUAGUUUGACUGGGGCGGUCUCCUCCCAAAGAGUAACGGAGGAGUACGAAGGUGCGCUCAGACCGGUCGGAAAUCGGUCGUAGAGUAUAAAGGCAAAAGCGCGCUUGACUGCGAGACAAACACGUCGAGCAGGUACGAAAGUAGGUCUUAGUGAUCCGGUGGUUCUGUAUGGAAGGGCCAUCGCUCAACGGAUAAAAGGUACUCCGGGGAUAACAGGCUGAUACCGCCCAAGAGUUCAUAUCGACGGCGGUGUUUGGCACCUCGAUGUCGGCUCAUCACAUCCUGGGGCUGAAGCCGGUCCCAAGGGUAUGGCUGUUCGCCAUUUAAAGUGGUACGCGAGCUGGGUUUAGAACGUCGUGAGACAGUUCGGUCCCUAUCUGCCGUGGACGUUUGAGAUUUGAGAGGGGCUGCUCCUAGUACGAGAGGACCGGAGUGGACGAACCUCUGGUGUUCCGGUUGUCACGCCAGUGGCAUUGCCGGGUAGCUAUGUUCGGAAGAGAUAACCGCUGAAAGCAUCUAAGCGGGAAACUUGCCUCAAGAUGAGAUCUCACUGGAACCUUGAGUUCCCUGAAGGGCCGUCGAAGACUACGACGUUGAUAGGUUGGGUGUGUAAGCGCUGUGAGGCGUUGAGCUAACCAAUACUAAUUGCCCGUGAGGCUUGACCAUAUAACACCCAAGCAAUU
rnacentral:rRNA from 1 species